UUUUCCCCUAUUGUUGCUGCACGGCAGUGAGUAUAUGUGUGUGAGUUUUCCAUUUACAUUUUCCACCUUCUGGCCAAAACGGUUGGGUAGCUGUUGUGCGUCGCUCGUACUGCGCAGUUUUCCUUUCAGAUCGUGUGUGAGUAAAGGAGCAACAGCAAGAGCGAGAUGAAAGACAAUCCCAUAAAAAAGGGAAAACAAGUGUAAACAAACGAAGGACGCCAGCCCUCGAGAGUACGCCCGCACACCGGGGCGGGAGGUUUUCCGUGUGCGAAAUGAAAGAAAAAACCCCGGCCACCCGUCUAAUCCUUCUCUCCGGGGACGAAGGAGUGUCAGAGCGAAACGGCACACAACGGCACGCGACCCAUCAGUUUCGGUGAAGGAAUGUUGCCUUCACGGCUGUUUUUCGCACCGAAACAGUCCGUUCGGGGUAGGAAAAUCAUCAUUUCUCCAUCUACCCUGGAGGUGAAAAUUGAGGGUGGAUAAAGCUAAUUUAAUUAGGCGCUGAUUGACUGUACAGUAUUGCAUUUCGAUCACGAAAACGAUAACCGAGCACCAGCAAACAUGCGACCUAUCCCCUGGAGAAUGAAACAUCAUCCCUACGAGAAGGCCAAGAUUCCCUCAUCAUUAUUAUGUUAUUCGAAUACGUUGCCAUCCCGCUAGAGAAUUUCCGGUGUGCACAGCGAACAGAAAAAAAGGCCCGGAAAUGGUGCGGGAAAAACUUCCCAAAGCCCUCGACAAUAAUAUCGGCUGUCCGCUAUCGGUAGAUCAGCACUAUCGUCACAGAUUUCUCCUCACUUCACUCUUUGUAGUAUGGAUGUGUCAAGUGACUGGCCAUGGCAAGCGAGUGAAAUAGAAAAAAAGAGCCCGAGCCCAAUGCUAAGGGAUAUCGGUAACCGAAACAGCGGUACGAUACAAGUAAUAAUACAAUAAUAGAAUAAAACCAAUCAAAAAUCAAUUUGAUAGUCCUUCAACCGAUUCCUUCGUUAUCCUUUACACGCUGUGCGUGCCGGAAGGCACCCGGCUCGAGUUCGGUAACCCGAUUUUGCCGGGUUUCCGGUAUCGAUGUAAGGUUCCCCAAGGAUUGACGGUUGCCUCGUGCAUCGUAUCCUUAUCGCAAGAUCAAUUUCAUCUUCUUCGGCUAGCGUGACCACUAAACCGUGUUGAAGGGUAUCGCCUCACGAUUGGCUUCGGGGCAAAAGUGGAAAGCUGCGUAAAGCCAAGGGAAACCCCACGAUACCCAGCCGCAUGAAUCGGAUGGUCGAGUAAACGGAAAAAGUGUCGGACGGCGCAUGGAUGGGAAAAAUUAAAUAAUAAACAUUAAUCUCCUUGUGGAGUAUGGAGCAAAAUCGGAUACCGCUGAAGGUUUGCCUUCCGAAUGCGCUGUUACAUUGUGCCGUCCUUGUCUGUUCUUUCGGCUCGGUCUAUUCAGCGUUUAAUCAGCGCCCGAGGUCAAUCCGACAGGAUAAAGCUAAUUGUGAACGUCAUCGCCCAGAUUCCUUCGCAUCGAAGUUUGAGGUAAGGAGAUCAAGCUCUCUAGCGAGGAUUGAGAGUAGAGUGGCUAGUUUCCAGCAAGGUCUAACUUAAAUUACAGUAACAUGUAGAAGAGCAAUGCUUAAGCAAAAAAUUUAUAUUUAUUCCUAACUUUAAAGGGAUGACCAAGGAAAUAGCGGUGACAAUCUUCACACGACAGGACCGGGGAUCAAACCCCUUUCAGAACGUUUUUAAAGAUUCUUUUUAUACAUGUCGGACAGCCGUAUUGCUUCUGAUAAAACUCCAAUUUCAGAUGAUAAAAAUUUCACCUAACUUUGUAAAUUUUGUAAAGUUGUUUUAAGUAAUAAUUAUUGAAACUGUAAUAUUUAGAAGCUUUAUACUGCGAACUUACAAUAUUACAUGAUAUACUUUUGGUUUAUUUAAUAUGAGGAUUAUUCUUUACAUAAAAUGUUGUAAAAAAAUAACAAAAAACUCGAAAAGAAACAGGAGUAAACUUGACACUUACGAAGGCUUCGAGUUAUCAUAAAAAAUAUAAAAUUGUAUAUUAUAACAUAGAAUAUACUCAAUGUAUAAUCAAAACUUAUCAUAAAUCUUCGUAACUCAUCUCAAUACAUUUGAACUUUUACUCAAAAGCAAUAGUUAUAGGUAUGAAUAUUAUUUCAUUGCUCGUUACUCAUAGUAUAAUAAUACAAAUAUUAACUAUCGAAUAAAUAAUGCUCGAGAGAAGACUUUGAGAUGAUUGAGCUGGAUAAGUGUAUUAUACAUGAGCAAAUGAACGUCACAAUGAACUGUCAACCUAUUGUCAACUAUUGUCAAGCUAAAAUCGCAGGAAAUUGAAACCUUCCGGAGGCUAGAAGUAGAACAACUACUUAGAAGAAGUUGAAGCUUCAUUUCCUCUAGGAAAAGAAUUCCAGAUAUUUAUUAACUGGGACUUCACGCUAUUUUUUCACGUAUUCCUGACAGUUUUAUCAUCGAUCUUCUUUGAGAAAAAUAUCCAUCAAAUACUCUUCUUUAAAAAAAAAAACACUACAUUGAUCCAUUAACGUUACCUAGAUCGUUCAUACAAACCAAAUGAAAAUAAAUAACCCCUAUUGCCACCCUUUCUCUUCCAUCUGAAAGAUAGAGCUAUAGUCGCGCAUAAAAAAACACACAACCAAAUCGAUUCCCCCUUCAAUAGUCCUGUUGUGAAUCAUCAUGCACUCCCCAGGAUGCACCACAAACCUAGUGCCAUACCGUUGGGUCGGGUAUCCAAAUCGCAUGAACCAUUUCCCGUACCGUAAUCAUUUGCACCAUCUUCGAAGCGAAGCAAUGAACGCAACCCAACGGAAAACUCACCGCCUCAUGAUUACACGACGCAGUGGGAAUCCUUUGCCUUGUACGUUUGCUCUCGAUCGGUGACACUAGCACCCGCAACAACAUCGAAAGCAGAAGUAACAACAACCAAAAAGGAUGGUCACCAUUUACAGCUGUUAUCAAUUUGCUGUAAUAAAAUUUUAUGCCAACAGCACCCCGUAGCCUGACGCUCAAACCUCAUAAAAAUGAUACGACAAAAUGAUGUUUUAUUUAACGAGACGUGGCGUCGAAGAGUGGAAGAGGUUGAAAACAGGAGGGAAAAGAAAACUCCACACACUAGUCUCAGGGCAAUAUCCAAAUCGAGUAUACGAGGGUCGAGUGAACGAACUGGCAGCCGAACAGGAACCCAGUUAUUCCGUUCAAUAAAUAUGUCCUUUUUUUGGAACCAAAAGAGGACAAACACUGACUCUGCAUGGGGUAUGUUUCCAAGGAAAAUAAAGAUGUAAAUGCGAUCAGAGUGCUGUGUGCAGAUUAUAAUAUUUUUCACGCUUUUCUGGUAAACAUACGGAAAACAUUCACAGAAAAUAUGUUUUGACUCAAGAUUUGGAAAAACAGACGAGAAAAAUGUCCUCAACAUUUAACAAUUCAACCUCAACAUUUCUAUUGCUAAAUAUUUCAUAUCUAUGAAAAUCAAUAACUUAACAAAUCUUUCCCACCAUUUUUAUCACUAACUCCUUUAAAACUUUUUUGCCCUACUUUUCCCUGUGCUACAAUUUUUCCUGUACAUCGACCCAAAAAAGGCCUCGAAAGUACACUUUGUGCAAAUGUCCAUCGCAAUGGCCAAUUUAACCAAUCGAGUGAACUUGUUUCGGCUUACCCUUUUCUCCCACGAAUAGCUGGAAAAUCACCCCAAAGGAAAUGGGAGAGAAAAAAAAAAUGCCUGUACGCAUAGUCGCAAAGGACGAAGGUGCUGGUAGAACAUGCAAAACUUCUUUACACUCCAUUACACCCUUCGGGUAAGCAAUAUGGCAGGCAAGGGUUCGACAUGUUCGGUGCUGAAACGAAGUGUGAAAAUGAAGUUUUUCUUCGUCGAUGGAAAAACCCGUCGAUUUGUUUGGCCCACCUCGGGGGGGUUAAAGGACCAGCGCAGACCCUUGCUAACGUUACUUCGAAUCGCGCGGACGUGUGGUUGGCAGGGAAAUGUAAAUUGAGUGUAAAUGUAAAACUUAAAUCACAAUACCACAAGAGAAAGGAAACAGUGGAAACUCGGUUGAGUGUGGAACGCUUGGCACGCACAAAAACUGAUCCCAACGAAGGUGUUGAUUGUCCAUCCGGGAAUGAUUUGAAGAGAGGGUAAAAGAUUUCAAAGUCUUUAGGGUUGAAGGGGUUGAAGAUUCGUUUUUCUUUUGUAGGGAAAUAAAAUGCACAAUGUUAAUAAGUAUAAGUUAAAGAAAACAAAUUAUUUAAUAAAAACACAUCAAUUGAAAAUAGAGUCAAAAAAGGUAAAAAAUAAAAUAAA